UUGACAGAAGAGAGUGAGCACACAGAGGGGAUUGUAUAUAUGCUUAUACCUUUGCUUUUGCGUGCUCACUUCUCUUCUUGUCAG
rnacentral:pre_miRNA from 1 species